CCUAGUAACGGCGAGUGAAGAGGAAAGAGCUCAAAGUUGGAACCUGUUUGGCUUAGCUAAACCGGAUUGUAAACUGUAGAAGUGUUUUCCAGGCACGCCAGGUAAAAAAGUCCUUUGGAACAGGGCAUCAUAGAGGGUGAGAAUCCCGUCUUUGGCCUGAGCAGUUGUCUUUUGUGAUACAUUUUCAAAGAGUCAGGUUGUUUGGGAAUGCAGCCUAAAUUGGGUGGUAAAUCUCACCUAAAGCUAAAUAUUUGCGAGAGACCGAUAGCGAACAAGUACCGUGAGGGAAAGAUGAAAAGAACUUUGAAAAGAGAGUUAAACAGUAUGUGAAAUUGUUAAAAGGGAACCGUUUGGAGCCAGACUGGCUUGACUGUAAUCAAUCUAGGCUUCGGCCUGGAUGCACUUGCGGUCUAUGCCUGCCAACGACAAUUUUCUCUCUGGGAAAAAACUUUUAGGAAUGUGGCCCCCUUUCGGGGGGGUGUUUAUAGCCUUUUAGAAAAUAUCAGGGAUUGGAUUGAGGAACGCAGUGAAUGCCCCCUUGGGCAAGAUUGCUGGGCGCUUUCGCUAAUAAAUGCUAGAAUUUCUGCUUUGGGGUGGUGCUAGUGUUUAGAGGAGGAACUCGCCUGGUAUAUUUUUUAUUCGCUUAGGUUGUUGGCUUA
rnacentral:rRNA from 1 species